GUUGGGAAUCUUGGACAAUGGGGGAAACCCUGAUCCAGCCAUGCCGCGUGAGUGAUGAAGGCCUUCGGGUUGUAAAACUCUUUCGACGGGGACGAUAAUGACGGUACCCGUAGAAGAAGCUCCGGCUAACUUCGUGCCAGCAGCCGCGGUAAUACGAAGGGGGCUAGCGUUGUUCGGAAUUACUGGGCGUAAAGCGCGCGCAGGCGGCUAUCCAAGUCAGUGGUGAAAGCCCGGAGCUCAACUCCGGAACUGCCAUUGAAACUGUUUAGCUUGAGGACGAGAGAGGUGAGUGGAAUUCCCAGUGUAGAGGUGAAAUUCGUAGAUAUUGGGAAGAACACCGGUGGCGAAGGCGGCUCACUGGCUCGUAUCUGACGCUCAGGCGCGAUAGCGUGGGGAUCAAACAGGAUUAGAUACCCUUGUAGUCC
rnacentral:rRNA from 1 species